CAUCAUAAGCUAAGGGAUUAUACGACCUGUCUCCCGCUUCGCAGGCUCGGGCUCUGACUUCUCUGGCGUCACUUUCUGUUUACUUCCGGGUUGGCUCCUCAGAUCUUCAGGCUCAGAAUUCCUUUGACUGACUGAGCAGGCUUGGUCAAGUGGUGCCUCAAUGUUGGAGCUCCAGUAAGAGGGAUACAGCAAAGGACACAGUGGGAAGAAGAAGAAGCGCAGAAGAAAAUUUGGGCCAGCUGAAGAAAAUGGAGUUUGGUGUUUGCCAGAAAGGCUGCAACAAAUGGAACAGUCCCAUGUUCCUGCUGAUUCCCUUACUGAUGAUGACGAUUCCUGCACAUGGUGAAGUCCACUGGGCCUGUUACUGAUUCACCACUGAUAUAUCCAGCAGUGUGGUCCAAACCGGAGAUUCCUGUGACCAGUAAUAAUACUCAAUUUCUUGGAUCUCCCUGGGCAGGAGUCAAAUUAUAAUAAGACCAUGACUUUCAAUGCA